UUGUCUUAAAGAUCCUUUUACGUGGAAAUACCAGACUCCUCCACGGAAAAAGUUCUCGUUAGCGAAUUCAACCGAUAAAAACUCUUCAACUUUGGAGAAAACGGCUUCAUCGGCAAACUCUAAAAGCUUGUUAACAUUCAAUACCCCUCCGGAGAAGCGUCAGGUUACUGAUCCUUAUCAAUUCACUCCUCCUCGUUCUAUCCCUGAUAUUUCUUCAACGAAUCCGCUGCGUACUCCUAGCGCACAGAAAACUAGUAAACGUAUAAAACGUGUUACAAGUGAAAAAAAAAGUACAUCUUCCUCUUCUCCCCUCGCUAACGU